AAGAUGAGCCCGAUUGUUAUUGUUUUCCAAUUGGUUGGUUGAUAAGAUGAUCUCUUAUUAAUCUCUCUGUCUAAUUUACUGUCUAAUUUUCUUUGUUUUCCAUUUUUUUCUCUCUUUUUCUCCAACGGUUUUUUUUUCUUCUCUUUUUUGAUGAGAAGCCAAAAGAGAAAAUUAUUAAACCGUCGUAAUUAGGCUAAUGAUUAUUAACUGUGAUUUGUUUUUCUUUUCAGAUGAUCCAAGACAAAAGAGGAAAACCAACAACAAACGAGGAAAAAAAAGAGAAGAAGAGAAAAAAACAUCAAACAAGCGAACAAUUUUCUCUAUAAAUUUCAAUGGAAAGGAUUGAGAGAUGAGGGGAACAAGAAAGAAAAACAAUUGGAAUUCAUGGAGAGAUAAUUAUUCUCAUCUUGAAAUUAAACAUUCUCAUCAAUGAUAAUGUUCACCAUAACCAUCACCACUGUUGCCUGAUGAUCAUAAUGAUGACAAUGAUGAGGAUGAAGAAGAUGAUGAUUUUCAUGAUACUGAUGAUGAUGAUUUUAAUACUAUUAACCAUGAAUAAUGGCAGAGGGCCAAUUCUUUUAUUUUUUUUCCUUCUUUUUCGAAAGAUGAAGACAGAGGAAGAGAAAAGAUUCUUGGUGAAUCUUUUUCCUCUUCCCUUUACUUUUUUGGCAACUUUAUUUGUGUCACAAUUAUAUUCUUGAUGUAAACAAAGCAAAACAAAAACCUAGGGAAAGUUUAUAUACAAUUUAUAAUAUAAAUAUACACCUUAUGUAUCAAAUGCAUGGUGAUUCUGAUGGUAAAAUGAACAGAGGAAAAUAUCUGAACCUAAAUAACAAGAAGGUGGAAAAAAGGAGAAGCAGAAAAACUGAGAAAAUCAAUAAAACCGUUGGAACUGUUAUCGUGGUCUUGAUGGAGGAAAACGAGGAGAGAGAAAAAGAGAGAGAGAGAGAUGAGGAUGAGGAUGAGGAUGCGGAAGAGAUGGGAGGGUGGAUGGAGAUGGAAGAAGAGGAAGAUGAAAAGUUUUGAUUGAGACAAGAGGGUAACAAGAUUUCCUCAGGUUUUCUUGGUAUCAACAACUGAAUAUUGUACAUGCAGGAUGAAGAUGAUGACACAGGGAAAAAGGUAGACAGAGUGAGAAAAUGUAUUCCAAUUUUUCUUCCAAGUGAACCGUUAUGGAGAAAGGUAAAAAUUGAUGUAAAGGUAUUUAUGACAGAUUAAAUUAACCAGAUUGUUUACAUGAUUGACAUUGGAACCAUUGAAACAACAGAAACACCUAAUUCAUGAUGAUGGUGGCAGAUUAACAGGAUGAAAUGAAAAAUGUAAUCAUCAGAAUAAGAAAAUAAGGUUUUUCUUCAACUUUAAAUUGUCUUUAAUUUGAUUACUGAUCACAAUUGUUGAUUAUUUUCCGAAAUCCAAAUAUAUAAAUGAAAGAGCGAUUAAUUUUGUUCCAAUUGCAAUUAUAUUUCGCUGAUAAAUUAAGUAGUAACUUUAUCGUAAUAAUAAGUUUUCCUUUCCCUCGAAAUGAACUUUUUUCACUUCGAACUGUUUCAUUUUCUUUUCUUUUUCAAUUUUCCAGAACCUGAGGAAUUCCAAGUAAUCAGAUCGGAUGAUCAGAAUAAGCAAACAUUCAAUUGGAAGAAGCUAAAAAAAGAAAAGGAAGAUAAAAUUGUCAUCAUCAUCAUCAUCUAAGUAUCCAAUUGAUAAUCGAUGAGGACAAUGAGAGAGAGAGAGAUAAAAGAAAAAGUUUCUCCCAUGAUAAUCAUUAGAAGAUAUUAAACUGACCCAACGAAAUAGCCAAUGAUAUAAAUAGAUACAAACAAAUGACAAUAACAAUAAAUGAAAGACAAUAAUAAGUUAUGAUGAGUAAGAAAACUGGUUAAUCUGGUUAACUGAUUAACCGGAAAAAAAACAAAGUAAAAAGGUAAACAAACUGGACGAUGAACCAGAAAUUGAAUGAAAACUGAUCAACUUGUAUUCUCAUCUCUUCUCAUCAGUUGAAUAUGAGAAUGAAGAAGACAAAAGGAUGAGGAUGAUGGAUGUUGUCAAGAACAGAAUGAGAAGAUGAUGAAGAUGAUAAUAUGGAAACAAUUUACUUUUGUAAUGAUAAAAUCGAUAAGGAAAAUGUUUACCUGUGUGAAUGUUAAUAUAUAUUAUUAUGAGUCUGUUGUUGUUGUUGUUGCUUGUUUGAUGUUAAUAUCAUUUGAUUUUAUCCACUUUCAACAAUUCGUGGAUGUUGUUAAGGAU